rnacentral:rRNA from 1 species
GGAGUUUGGUCCGUGUCUCAGUACCAAUGUGGGGGACCUUCCUCUCAGAACCCCUACUGAUCGAAGGCUUGGUGGGCCGUUACCCCGCCAACAACCUAAUCAGACGCAUCCCCAUCCCAUACCGGUGAACCUUUGGUAUUACUCAGAUGUCCUCAUAAUACAACAUAGAGUAUUAAUCCGACUUUCGCCGGGCUAUCCUCUAGUACGGGGAAGGUUGGAUACGCGUUACUCACCCGUGCGCCGGUCGCCGACAGAGUUAGCAAGCUAACUCCUCGCUAGCCCCUCGACUUGCAUGUGUUAAGCCUGUAGCUAGCGUUCAUC